CCUACUGGUGGCAGCAGUGAGGAAUAUUGGUCAAUGGCCGUAAGGCUGAACCAGCCAAGUCGCGUGAAUGAAGAAGGAUCUAUGGUUUUUAAACUUCUUUUAUAGGGGAAUAAACGUAUCCCCGUGUGGAUAUUUUCAUGUACCCUAUGAAUAAGCAACGGCUAACUCAGUGCCAUCAGCCGCGGUAAUACGGAGGAUGCGAUCGUUAUCCGGAUUUCUUGGGGUUAACGGGUACGUAGGUUGUUUUUUAAGUCAGCGGUGAAAGUUUGUGGCUCAACCAUAAAAUUGCCGUUGAAACUGGAAGACUUGAGUGUGUUUGAGGUAGGCGGAAUGCGUGGUGUAGCGGUGAAAUGCAUAGAUAUCACGCAGAACUCCGAUUGCGAAGGCAGCUUACUAAGCCAUAACUGACACUGAAGUACGAAAGCGUGGGGAUCAAACAGGAUUAGAUACCCGAGUAGUC
rnacentral:rRNA from 1 species